GCGACCCCAGGAUGGGCGAGGCCACCCGCCGAGUUUAAGCAUAUCAAUAAGCGGAGGAGAAGAAACUUA
rnacentral:rRNA from 1 species